rnacentral:misc_RNA from 1 species
AUGCGAUAAGUAAUGUGAAUUGCAGAAUUCAGUGAAUCAUCGAAUCUUUGAACGCACAUUGCGCCCGCCAGUAUUCUGGCGGGCAUGCCUGUUCGAGCGUCAUUUCAACCAUCAAGCCCCCGGCUUGUGUUGGGGACCUGCGGCUGCCGCAGGCCCUGAAAAGCAGUGGCGGGCUCGCUGUCACACCGAGCGUAGUAGCAUACAUCUCGCUCUGGGCGUGCUGCGGGUUCCGGCCGUAAAACCACCUUCAUAACCCAAGGUUGACCUCGGAUCAGGUAGGAAGACCCGCUGAACUUAA